CUCAAUCCCAGGACCCUGUGAUCAUGACUUAAGAAGGCAGAUGCAUAACUGACUGAGCGACCCAGGCGCCCCUAAAAAAGUUUUUUUUUGAAGAAUCAUAUGAUAAACAUUUGUGUAUCCACCUUUUCAAUUCUACAACUACCACAUUCUUUUUAAAAGAAUGUAGAGUAACUCAUCUUAGGACAGACUAUUUCAUUUAUUCCUUAAUGAUUUAUAUUUAUGCUUCUUCCAGUUUUUGGUGUUACACAGCACAUCAAUAAUCAUCUUGUAUAUAUAUCGUUGUGUAUAUAUACAAGUAGAUCUACAGUAUAAAUUCUUGGAGCUGGGGACUGCUGAAUCAAAAGAUAUAUGGAUUCUAGAAGCUGAUAUAUAUUGCCAUGUGUCUCAUCAAACUGGUUGCAGAAAAGAGGUCAAUGUGAAGUGUCCAGUGCCUCAAAGAUGUCUUCUGAAAUGGGGAUGGACUUGCUUAAGGGAGAAGAACCAGCAUGGGCCUACC
rnacentral:lncRNA from 1 species